ensembl:lncRNA novel transcript
AUCAGAGGCCGCACUCAUCGUAGCAGAGAGGCAGGACCAACUGGGAGAGGGUCAUUCUGUGACACCUACUGCAUCACCGGGCUGUGUGAAGUGACUCAGCUGCCAGAACUCACACAAUAUCAUUCUACACCAAAACCUCACGGGAAAAAUCCUCCCCGACCCUCAGACUUAAACAGCAGCACUGGCUCCUCCCCAGAUCUCCAGCUCCCUGACCCUCAAACUCCAACUGCAGCACCAGCUCCACCUGGGUCUCCAGCUCCAUGAUCCUCAAACUACAACAGCAGCACCAGCUCCCCCGUGGAUCUCCAGCUCAAUGACUCUCAGACUUGGGAGGUGGCACUGGCUCCCAACCAAGGCUCCAGCUCCACAAACCUCAAACUAGAACAGCAGCACCAGCUACUCCCUGGGUCUCCAGCUCCCUCAAACUUCAACUAUAGCACUGGCUCUUCCCUGGGGCCACCAGCUCCACAACCCUCAACUUACACGGUGGUAGCACCAGCUCCUCCCCAGGUCUCCAGCUCCACGACCAUCAAACUUGAACUGCAACACCAGCUCCUCUUCAGC